UACAGAGGUGGCAAGCGUUGUUCGGAAUUACUGGGCGUAAAGGGCGCGUAGGCGGCCUCGCAAGUCCCGUGUGAAAUCCCUCGGCUCAACUGAGGAAUGGCACGGGAAACUGCGGGGCUUUGAGUUCGGGAGAGGGAAGCGGAAUUCCGGGUGUAGCGGUGAAAUGACGUAGAUAUCCGGAGGAACACCGGUGGCGAAGGCGGCUUCCUGGACCGAUACUGACGCUGAGGCGCGAAAGCUAGGGGAGCAAACGGG
rnacentral:rRNA from 1 species